rnacentral:lncRNA from 1 species
GUGAAACUUGGGACGGGUGCGUGAACUCAGAGGACUUCCAGGAUGACCCCCGGUUUCUAGCUUAAGUGACUGACAGAGACACGGUUCACUGAGGUGGGCUGGAGGGUGAGGGGGCUUGUGGGGGAAAGGCAACAGCUCUACUUGCAGCCACAUCAGGUCGGGACGCCAUGAGAUGUCCAGGUGGAGAUGUCACCGGGCCUGUUUUCAUCCCUCAACAAAUAUUCACAUCCAGAAAGCGGCACCCCGAGAGUCCCAAAUCCUAAAUCAUAGUCCAGAUGUCAGAGCUGGAAGAGACUUUAGACCCAUCUGGAGCCCACGGUCCUCGCACACCAUGAGUGGAGGAGCCAGCUGGGGUGUUGGAGAACCACGGCGCCUCCUCCCUGAGUCUGACUGCAGCCCAGGUCUGACCGCUUUCUACACGCAUCCUGCUGACUCUGAUCCAGGAAGUCCCAGAGUCCCACUUAGGACACCCUGCUCUAGUCUCACAGCCCCGCUUGACAGACGGACACUGUGGCCCCAAAAGACUCCAGGACUGGGUGACUGGACCAGCAGAAUUCCACAUCCUGCCCACGGGUUAGAACUUUUCUAGCAGCUCCUGCCAUCUCUCCAUUUCCACUAACGAGCUGGGCGUCUCCUAUGGGUUUGAGACCAGCAGCCAUGGCCCCGCAGCCCUUCCCCACUUUCUCCUGCUGGCCCUGAGCCCAGGGGGCAGAUGACUUCCUGGGUCCUUCAUGAUGGCACUGCAGGCCCCUGCCCUGAGCCUGAGUGUAACCACACUCUUCACAUCCCAGCCCUGCCCAGAUCCAGAACCCCCUCCUCCAAGGAGUCUCCCUUGACCACUCUGCCCACCUGUGUGCACAGGUCCUCCCCCAAC